rnacentral:rRNA from 1 species
UACGAAGGGAGCUAGCGUUGCUCGGAAUCACUGGGCGUAAAGCGCACGUAGGCGGCUUCUUAAGUCAGGGGUGAAAUCCUGGAGCUCAACUCCAGAACUGCCUUUGAUACUGAGGAGCUCGAGUCCGGGAGAGGUGAGUGGAACUGCGAGUGUAGAGGUGAAAUUCGUAGAUAUUCGCAAGAACACCAGUGGCGAAGGCGGCUCACUGGCCCGGUACUGACGCUGAGGUGCGAAAGCGUGGGGAGCAAACAGG